AGAAAAUAAAGCAUGUCGUUUAGAAGGGAAAUGUAAUGACAAGCACAGCUGCAAUAGUUAUUGCACUAUCUUUGAUAAUAAAUGAAAUUAAUUUAAUUUAUAAUUAUUCCAUUAUCUUUAAUAAUUCUUGAAAGCGCAUUGUUUUACGUUUGGACGCCGCUUAAAGACUACUUACUCUUUCACUCUGAUGAUCUCCUGGUACAUUUGUACGAGCAUAUGAAACUGGAAUGGGUUAUAUGUCCCCUGUGUUGCGGGAAAAACGACUGCUCGCACGCCUUUGCGACCCUGGUACUUAAAGUGAUGAGUUUCACACUUUUGUUGACAAUUUGUUUUGUUGCAAAAAAGUGAUUUUUUGUAUUUUUCUUUU
rnacentral:misc_RNA from 1 species